rnacentral:rRNA from 1 species
GACGAACGCUGGCGGCGUGCCUAAUACAUGCAAGUUGAGCGCUGAAGGUUGGUACUUGUACCAACUGGAUGAGCAGCGAACGGGUGAGUAACGCGUGGGGAAUCUGCCUUUGAGCGGGGGACAACAUUUGGAAACGAAUGCUAAUACUGCAUAAAAACUUUAAACACAAGUUUUAAGUUUGAAAGAUGCAAUUGCAUCACUCAAAGAUGAUCCCGCGUUGUAUUAGCUAGUUGGUGAGGUAAAGGCUCACCAAGGCGAUGAUACAUAGCCGACCUGAGAGGGUGAUCGGCCACAUUGGGACUGAGACACGGCCCAAACUCCUACGGGAGGCAGCAGUAGGGAAGCUUCGGCAAUGGACGAAAGUCUGACCGAGCAACGCCGCGUGAGUGAAGAAGGUUUUCGGAUCGUAAAACUCUGUUGGUAGAGAAGAACGUUGGUGAGAGUGGAAAGCUCAUCAAGUGACGGUAACUACCCAGAAAGGGACGGCUAACUACGUG